ACUUUAGUUUUAUAGAACACUUGGGAUCUAUAUAGAAUAUAUCUAUAUUGUAGAUUCUAAAUAAUUUCAAUAAUUUUAAUUUUCUGCAAGGUACCCUAAGUGAGGACCGUAGGGUGGAAAAUGACUUCGGUCACUCAGCGUUUUGGGAAUCAGUUCACUCUUGUUUCUCUUCAGAUCGUAUAAAUCUUUCGCCUUUUACUAAAGAUUUCCGUGGAGAGGAACAACAAGAGUUUAUCCCAAUUUUUUGAUGCCCUGCUUCAUGUGGGGCUUCCUUACUGUGUCCAAUGACAAAUAAACUACAUUCUCUCUGAAUAUGGGGGUGUGUGGCAAAUGCUUCAACAGUGUAUUAAUCUGUAUUUAGUUACAUAAGCGGACAUGUUAAAAUCAGGUGAUAUACGUGACUGUGACCACGAGAGGGCGCACAGUUUAUGUACCUUAAAAACAUUCCCUACAGACUACGAUGUUCCCCAUAUGAAGUAAAUUUCACACUACAGAUUUCACAUUCAGUCAUGAAUUUUGGACAUAUUUGUGUAUAACCUUUAAGUACUUGUUUGCACACAGUUUUAGACUUUCAGAUUUAGUGACACAGAUGCAGAUUCUUAUUUUUAUCAUCUCAAAAUAACCUGCACCUCCUGAAAGAAGAGCGAAUUUUCACUUUCCGAUAACGUUUUAUCCUUUAUGAAUGUCCACGUCACCAUACAUAAAUACAUUUCACCAAUUCGCCUGCGAGGGCAGCAGGACACCAACGCCGCAAAAUCUGCAGGAAAUUGCCAGAAGAAGAAGAAAAAGGGAGGAAAAAAAAGAGAGAGAGAGAAAAGAAGAAGAAGAUGGGGGGGCGGUCAAAGAAGCAAAACAGUUGAAAGGAAAACAAAAUACUGAACUCAGAUAAGAGUGAUCUCCUCCAGCAGAUCAGCGGGGAAGUAGCCCAGCUUUCGUCCAGUGCUGACCUUCAAGUAGCCGCCUUUCUCAUCUCCUUUCUUCACCACAAUCUGAAACACAGAGGGACAACAGCACAACUGAACAUCCCAGCAUCAGGAAGUAGACAGCAGGCUUCCCUGUGCGAACAUCAGAGUCAUCAACAAAUUCCUUGCUUUUGACGAGAACGGAAAACUAACAACUUCAUAUUAUCUUUCGGGUAUGUAGCAUCCUAAUUGAAUUUUUCUGGACAAAUAGUUUAUUAUUGUUGUUGUUCUAUGACCAUAACCAUAUACCACAGAGAACAUUUAAGCCAUCAUUACAGCUCUGUACCUUCUCCUCCCUCCUCGUUCUCUUUGGGCUGUUGGUUCUCCUCUUCUUCUUCCUCCAUCAUCAUCAUCAUCUAGAGGAGAAAUAUUAUUAAUCAGAUCUAUACGCAAAUAUCACAUUUUAUACCCUUUCAACACAUUGUAUUUGCUUUUGUACUUUUAUGUCUGGAUUCUUUCAUGCUUGAACAAUUUCCUUCACUGAUGUUCAGUACAUUGAAAGGAUAAGUAAAGACAUGUUGAAGGCCUUUCACAGUUGGAUUAAAAAUCUUUUGUGGGC